UACGGAGGAUCCAAGCGUUAUCCGGAUUUAUUGGGUUUAAAGGGUGCGUAGGCGGCCUAUUAAGUCAGGGGUGAAAGACGGUAGCUCAACUAUCGCAGUGCCUUUGAUACUGAUGGGCUUGAAUGAACUAGAGGUAGGCGGAAUGAGACAAGUAGCGGUGAAAUGCAUAGAUAUGUCUCAGAACACCGAUUGCGAAGGCAGCUUACUAUGGUUUUAUUGACGCUGAGGCACGAAAGCGUGGGGAUCAAACAGG
rnacentral:rRNA from 1 species